AUUGAACGCUGGCGGCAGGCCUAACACAUGCAAGUCGAACGGUAACAGGAAGCAGCUUGCUGCUUUGCUGACGAGUGGCGGACGUGUGAGUAAUGUCUGGGAAACUGCCUGAUGGAGGGGGAUAACUACUGGAAACGGUAGCUAAUACCGCAUAACGUCGCAAGACCAAAGAGGGGGACCUUAGGGCCUCUUGCCAUCGGCUGUGCCCAGAUGGGAUUAGCUAGUAGGUGGGGUAACGGCUCACCUAGGCGACGAUCCCUAGCUGGUCUGAGAGGAUGACCAGCCACACUGGAACUGAGACACGGUCCAGACUCCUACGGGAGGCAGCAGUGGGGAAUAUUGCACAAUGGGCGCAAGCCUGAUGCAGCCAUGCCGCGUGUAUGAAGAAGGCCUUCGGGUUGUAAAGUACUUUCAGCGGGGAGGAAGGGAGUAAAGUUAAUACCUUUGCUCAUUGACGUUACCCGCAGAAGAAGCACCGGCUAACUCCGUG
rnacentral:rRNA from 1 species